GUCGGUGGCUAUUGCGUGAGGGCUACACCCGUUCCCAUCCCGAACACGGCCGUUAAGUCUCACCGCGCGGAUGGUACUGCCGGGGUCGCCCGGUGGGAGAGUACGUCGCUGCCGACU
rnacentral:rRNA from 1 species